ACAAGCGGUGGAGCAUGUGGUUAAUUCGAAGCAACGCGAAGAACCUUACCAGGCCUUGACAUGCAGAGAACUUUCCAGAGAUGGAUUGGUGCCUUCGGGAACUCUGACACAGGUGCUGCAUGGCUGUCGUCAGCUCGUGUCGUGAGAUGUUGGGUUAAGUCCCGUAACGAGCGCAACCCUUGUCCUUAGUUACCAGCACGUUAUGGUGGGCACUCUAAGGAGACUGCCGGUGACAAACCGGAGGAAGGUGGGGGAUGACGUCAAGUCAUCAUGGCCCUUACGGCCUGGGCUACACACGUGCUACAAUGGUCGGUACAAAGGGUUGCCAAGCCGCGAGGUGGAGCUAAUCCCAUAAAACCGAUCGUAGUCCGGAUCGCAGUCUGCAACUCGACUGCGUGAAGUCGGAAUCGCUAGUAAUCGUGAAUCAGAAUGUCACGGUGAAUACGUUCCCGGGCCUU
rnacentral:rRNA from 1 species